rnacentral:tRNA from 1 species
UGCGGGGUCGUCUAAUGGUAGGACGACUGCCUUUGGAGCAGUCUAUCAUGGUCCGAAUCCAUGCCCCGCAGCCG